rnacentral:rRNA from 1 species
GCGGCGUGCCUAAUACAUGCAAGUAGAACGCUGAAGGAGGAGCUUGCUCUUCUGGAUGAGUUGCGAACGGGUGAGUAACGCGUAGGUAACCUGCCUGGUAGCGGGGGGUAACUAUUGGAAACGAUAGCUAAUACCGCAUAAGAGUAGAUGUUGCAUGACAUUUGCUUAAAAGGUGCAAUUGCAUCACUACCAGAUGGACCUGCGUUGUAUUAGCUAGUUGGUGGGGUAACGGCUCACCAAGGCGACGAUACAUAGCCGACCUGAGAGGGUGAUCGGCCACACUGGGACUGAGACACGGCCCAGACUCCUACGGGAGGCAGCAGUAGGGAAUCUUCGGCAAUGGACGGAAGUCUGACCGAGCAACGCCGCGUGAGUGAAGAAGGUUUUCGGAUCGUAAAGCUCUGUUGUAAGAGAAGAACGAGUGUGAGAGUGGAAAGUUCACACUGUGAC